AUACGUAGGGGGCGAGCGUUGUCCGGAAUGAUUGGGCGUAAAGGGCGCGUAGGCGGCCCGGUAAGUCUGGAGUGAAAGUCCUGUUUUUAAGAUGGGAAUUGCUUUGGAUACUGUCGGGCUUGAGUGCAGGAUAGGUAAGUGGAAUUCCCGGUGUAGCGGUGAAAUGCGUAGAGAUUGGGAGGAACACCAGUGGCGAAGGCGACUUACUGGACUGUAACUGACGCUGAGGCGCGAAAGUGUGGGGAGCAAACAGGAUUAGAUACCCUGGUAGUCCACACGGUAAACGAUGAAUGCUAGGUGUAGGGGGUAUCGACCCCUUCUGUGCCGCAGUCAACACAAUAAGCAUUCCGCCUGGGGAGUACGGCCGCAAGGUUGAAACUCAAAGGAAUUGACGGGG
rnacentral:rRNA from 1 species